UACGUAGGUGGCAAGCGUUGUCCGGAUUUACUGGGCGUAAAGAGCGCGUAGGCGGCCAGAUAAGUCCGGUGUGAAAGUCAAAGGCUCAACCUUUGAAUGCCGCUGGAAACUGUCUGGCUAGAGUCCGGAAGGGGCGAGUGGAAUUCCUGGUGUAGCGGUGAAAUGCGCAGAUAUCAGGAGGAACACCAAUGGCGAAGGCAGCUCGCUGGAACGGUACUGACGCUGAGGCGCGAAAGCGUGGGGAGCGAACAGG
rnacentral:rRNA from 1 species